GCAAUAGCUCUGCUGGACAGUGAGCAGCYGCAGCAGCCUCUGAACGCCGUGGUCGCACCAGCAGGGCCAAGAUUUUCUGCACCCUGUGUCAGGCCUGAGAAGGACAGGUUCCUAAGAGAUUGCCUGCUGGAGAGCAUGGGAAGAGAGGACUGGCA